CGCCGCCGCCUCCUCGGCACCCUGCUGAUUUGCUUCUUCGUUCUCGUUGAUUUGUUUAUCUCGAUUUGCUUUGCUGUUCUCUGUUCCCAUUUUGCGAUUCGUUGGUGCUUCGUCAUCUGGUCAUUGGGAUGAUCAGUCUCUCGAGUCUGAUCGGUUCCCAAUGCACUCGUUCCCUUGAAGCAACAUCGUACCGUUGUAUCCCGAGUCCGCCCCUCUCGUGUGCCCUCCGAGUUUCUCUCCCAGGGCACCGGCGGCUCUUACAUACAUCUAAAAAGUUCCCAUUUCUCUCUGGACAUCUUGAUUUCGACAACCGUGAUGAGCCAAUUUUACAGUUGCAGACCUGUAAUGACUCCUGCGGAAAUGAUCGCAUGGUCAAAGAACAUCUAAGGGACUGAGUUGUCUUAGAAAUCAUCAUGAUUCCUGGUAGUACUAUAUUGGAUCUUGUUUUGCCGCGUGUUUUGGUCUGCUGCUUCUCUUAAGUAUUCGUGUCUGUGAACUAAUUUGUAUGGUUCCCGGGCAGUGAUUAGACGGGAAGCAGAAAGCAAUUGUUCCUCUCGCUAUCCAAUGCGGAAAUUCUGUGAUGCGAUUGGACGUCGAGGAACUACACUGCCUUAUUUGCUGAAUUCGAUUUCCUCAGUCCGGUUACUAUUUACGCUUGCAUUUGUUUGUUUAUAAAAGUGAUCUCUUUUGUUGCACAUGGUCACCGGAUCAAAACGCUGAUAUGAACGUAUAAAGAAAUGGUAUAUGUGGAAGGAUCUGCACGGGCGUUAAGGAAUGUUAAGUAUGCGGCUAAACUUGAUUUGCUCGGUCUUGUUCGGACCUUCUGCAUUUGCAUCGACUAGAAAGGUGCGCCAUAGGUCCUGGUUAAGGCGCAACCAGAACUUGCAAAAUGAAGCAUGGCAUAUGCCUCAAUUUUUGGCUCCAGAAUUUUAUGGGAUGUCAGAAAUUCAAGGAACCAGGACCUCAGGAAAACUGACGUGGCUGUAUUGGCCUCAGAUUCGCAGCACCGUUCGUUGUCUAAGACCAACAACAAAUAUCACAGUGUGCCUGCCCCCGGUAUCCCAUCACUUAUUUUAGAGGUCCUCAGUUGAUCAAUGUGGUUGGUAAUCAGUAACCCAGAUGAAUAUGUGAUACUUUUGUGUCCCUUGGUUUAUGCCGUCUGUGCCACAUUUAGCAUAGAAUUCCGAUUGUGUGCCUGCCCCCUGGGAAUUCAUUAUGUGCACUGUUAUCUUCCUUUCGAAAUUGUUUAAGAGGUUUCAUGCUCUCCUAUUUGUGAUCUAUGGGAUUUGCCCUUGAUCUAUUCGAUACAAUGACUGGAACCACGCUCCAGCCGCCCAUCGCAGGUCCUUUCGCCGCCGCUGAUCUAUUCGCUAUAUCGACGGAAACCACGCCCUGGCCGCCAUCACGGAUCCCUUUGCCGGCGCCCAGAUCCUAGAGGUGCCGCCGCCGAGCGCUUGUCGCUCGCCCCCGCCCGUCUCUCCCUCCUCGGCGUUGGCAGCUUCGAGUCCUUCAGACAGUGUGCCCCAGUCGCUCCCGUUCCUCCUCUGCUGUGACCUCCUACUGGGCGCCUCGGCCACGGUUGACCUCUUCUCCUUCCCCGAUCUCCUCGCGUCCGCCGCCGCUGCCCGGGGAGCAUGCCGAUCGCAGGUCGUCCUGGAGGUCACGGCUAGGGAGUUCGUCCCCAAGAUGUCGCAGGAGGCUGUGGCGCAGAUGGGCCAAGAGGAGCAGGGGCACCUUGCACUUGCCGGUCAAGCAGCUUGCAGAAUUCCGUCUGGCUACUCGAGCAGGUUCGCCGUUCUUGUUGUUCUUGCGUGUCAAGACUCUUGGCUGCAGACUUGCAGAUAUCAAGUACGAGUCAAUGCUUAAUUUUUGUCACGUUUCUUACUCACCACUGUUAUUUCUAGCAUCCAACAUACACGAAUUGAAUAGACCAACGGCAUUACAUGUUUCAUAAGCAUGUUUCUAAAUGCUAAUUAGCAGUUCUCAGUUCUGCAGAUACACUAUGAUUGCAGCGGGUGUUGGAAAAAAUCAUCCGAUGGUCGUGAGUGACGAAGGAAGUGCUUUGUAUUUGGUGACUGCUGGGGACGAGUUCACUAAGGAGUGGUUGACUCCCUCUCCUGUUGCUUUUUUAUGGUUGAUAGAUGACACAACUAGAAGUGCAGCAAAUACAACUUAUAUUGUCACCUGUUCUUAGAAUCUACCUGUUUCGGUGAUAAUGAAACCAAUAAAAAUAUUUAUGACAUGAGCAUACAUAACUUAUAUUGUUUAGGACGAUGGGGUAGUUCUGACAAUUUAUGGGAAUUUGACCAUAUGCGAAACUCAUUUUCCCACUGUGUUCUUACACUGCUGUUAUUUUUGUGUUGUCCCUGACUCCGUGUUGUUCCAAAUUUGGUGCGGGGACUAAGGUGUCGCCACUCCCCUGCCUUGUUACUAAAGCAACUAAUGUUGUUUGUGGUGCCGACUUCACUAAUCUAAUUGUCAUCGGUUGAGGCAUCUUCCGUACUGUAAGGCCUUCCUGAAACUAUUAAACUUAAAGAUUAGCACGUUUUUUUCUUUCAGAUAAAGCAAGCUUUGAUCAUCUUCUCAUCAUAACAACUUUAGAUUAUUAUCUGCUUUGGCUGUAAUUAGUGGGGUUUUUCCUUUGUCAUUUCUUUUAAGAUGUGUUUAGUUCUUUUGUGCUAUUCAGUACAUCAGGACUUCCUCGGUAUGGCCAACUUGGUCAUGGAAGCGAAUCAGGUUGGUUGCUACUAUGUUAACACACGAAACCUACUAAAUUUGCCACGCUGGAGGCGGGGAAACCUAGACCUAUGCUAAUUGAUUUAAUUAAUUAUUAUUAUUCGUUGGGCGUCCGAACAAGCAGCUGAGCGUUGGACAUGGCCUUAUGCCUCCGAAUAAUAUGUUCAUACCCCAUAAGUUCUUUGGAAUAUUCAUACAUCCAGUUCAGUACUAUUUUCCAUAUUUUAACUUUACAUACUGUUUUUUUAUUAUCUGAUGUUCAUUAUAAGUACCAGUCAAAAAACUGUUAAUUAUAAGUGCAUAGCAUAGCCCUAUAUUUAUUAUAUUCGGUGACCUUUUUUAUGAAAAUCAUUGCUACGAGUCACCAUUUUAUAUUUGGUGCUCAUACCCUAAACCUUUUGUAUUUGCAAGAUCACUCCUUAAUGCUAAGAGGGGAGAGAUGAUUUUAGGGAUAUUUUUGUCAAAGGAGAACAUUGACAAAAACAAUGAAUACAAGGAGCUUGCAGCCAUGAUGGAAUGAAUCUUUGCGUGGCAGCCUGCUUACCGCCCAGAUAGUGAGCCCCUGAGCUCCUGAAGAAAGGACAGUUGAAGGAGAUGAAAGAAGCGAACACAAAGGAUCCUACGCCAAAGAAUGAAGAGGCCGGGGAAAUGAUUGAAGGGGGUGCGUGGAGGACAUGUGCAUGGCGGAAGCUGGCGUGAUGACUGCGAAGGUCAAAGGAGAGAAGGCUCGCACUAGACUCAUUUUGGAGUCUCUGGACAGGCACAUCGCGCAUCAACCUUGGGUGAUUUAAGUGAGGGUGGUUCUAUAUUUUCCUCCCUCUUAUUUCUGUCAAUGACUAAAGAUAGAUGAUUAGGGAAUUUUUUUAUCGAUUGCCAUGGAUUACUGGAAAUUUUCAGCGAGGUAAAACAAAGGUGAUAUCUUGAGGAUCUAA